rnacentral:rRNA from 1 species
AGCUGGCCUAUAAAACGGCAUGUGCACGCUCCUUUCACAAUCCACACACACCUGUGCACCUUCGCGGGGGUCUUUUUUUCUCUUCGGGGGAAUAAAGGCUCGCGUCCCUUUACACACCCUUUGUAUGUCUUAAGAAUGUCUACUCGAUGUAAUAAAACGCAUCUAAUACAACUUUCAACAACGGAUCUCUUGGCUCUCGCAUCGAUGAAGAACGCAGCGAAAUGCGAUAAGUAAUGUGAAUUGCAGAAUUCAGUGAAUCAUCGAAUCUUUGAACGCACCUUGCGCCCUUUGGUAUUCCGAAGGGCACACCUGUUUGAGUGUCGUGAAAUUCUCAACCCUCCUCGCUUUUUCGGCGAGCGUAGGGAUUGGACUUGGAGGCUUUGCCGGGCUCUCAUCGCUCGGCUCCUCUCAAAUGCAUUAGUGCGUCUUGUUGCGACGUGCGCCUCGGUGUGAUAAUUAUCUACGCUGUGGUGCGCUUGCUUCUUGUGGAG